UACGGGGGGGGCAAGCGUUGUUCGGAAUUACUGGGCGUAAAGGGCUCGUAGGCGGCCAACUAAGUCAGACGUGAAAUCCCUCGGCUUAACCGGGGAACUGCGUCUGAUACUGGAUGGCUUGAGGUUGGGAGAGGGAUGCGGAAUUCCAGGUGUAGCGGUGAAAUGCGUAGAUAUCUGGAGGAACACCGGUGGCGAAGGCGGCAUCCUGGACCAAUCUGACGCUGAGGAGCGAAAGCCAGGGGAGCAAACGGG
rnacentral:rRNA from 1 species